CCUCAUCAAUCGCUAAUCAGGAUAAUUCUCGCACAGGUUUACCUACAGAGUAAUCUGAUGAAGGUAUUUCCUCAACUGAAGUUCCUGCUUCUUAGAUGACCCUACCUGAUGUCAAGCUGACUGGAAACUAACACAGCUUUAUACCAGACCAUCAAAGAAUUCCUCCUUCAGAAGGGUGAGUUUCAACAGCAGCUACCCAACUUACUCAGCUGACUGGAUGGUGAAUGGCAGGCAAACAUUGGUAGCGCUUUCCCAACUCUGACUCAGUCUCCCUCAUUUCCUCUACUGUCGCUGGUGGUGACUUCACAAGGCGGUCUCUCCUUGGGGACUGCCACUCAUUUCCUAAGAUGUCUCGAUUCAUGCUGGGGUCUGCCAACUGAGGAAGGAAAAGGAGACCUGACACUUGGCAUGCAAGCCCAACCUACAGGGACUGCUGCCCACUGAGGCUACCCUGUAACGUGAGACUUACCUACCUCCUCCCAGCACUGAACUCACAAGAUGCUUGCAUUCACUGGUUUGAUACAUGGGACUCUACCCCCCACCACUCCCGCCACAACCACCCUCUUUCUUUCCCCCUCCUGCCCACAACACAUGUCAGGCACCUUCUCUAGCAAGAAGCUCUGACUGAGAACUGCCUGGACCACGUAUUCCACAAUUUGCUCAUCAGAAUUCUAGUCGUUUGUUGUAACCAUCUAAAUUAUCUAAUAUUUAUAUCAAUAAAGACACGGGAGGCA